UCUGGUGGCGAUGGCAAAGAGGUCACACCCGUUCCCAUGCCGAACACGGAAGUUAAGCUCUUUAGCGCCGAUGGUAGUUGGGGGUUUCCCCCUGUGAGAGUAGGACGUUGCCAGGC
rnacentral:rRNA from 1 species